rnacentral:rRNA from 1 species
AGAGAGAGACAUGCGCCAUAUCAAUAAGCGGAGGAAAAGAAACUAACAAGGGAUUCCCCUAGUAACGGCGAGUGAAGCGGGAAGAGCUCAAAUUUGAAAUCUUAAAGGGUUUCCCUUUACGAAUUGUAGUUUAAAGAAGUGUUUUCUGUUGAGGUUUUGGUAAAAGUUCUUUGGAAUAGGACAUCAUAGAGGGUGAGAAUCCCGUAUUUGACCUUUACUUUCAACUUUGUGAUACACUUUCAAAGAGUCGGAUUGUUUGGGAAUGCAGUCCAAAAUGGGUGGUAAAUUUCAUCUAAAGCUAAAUAUUGGCGAGAGACCGAUAGCGAACAAGUACCGUGAGGGAAAGAUGAAAAGAACUUUGAAAAGAGAGUUAAACAGUACGUGAAAUUGUCAAAAGGGAAGCGUUUGACACCAGUGUUGUUUUUCUGAAAAUCAAUUAAAGAACUGUUUAUGCUAAGCUGUUUAGGACUUUAUCAGCUAUCUGUUUAGUUUUGAGCUUUUCUUUAAUGCACUUUUCAGUUAACAAGUCAACAUCAAUUUCUUUUGCUGUAAAAAAGCUUGAGGAAGGUGGCUUGAGACUCGUCUUAAGUGUUUAUAGCCUCUCGCCUAUGCAGUCGGAGAGAUUGAGGUCUGCAGCGUAGAUCCUUCGGGGCUAAAUGCAUUUGUGCUAAGUUAUAGCGUUUUAUAGACAACUUGUUGACUAUGAUUUGUCUUGUAGCUUACUCGCUUAUGUUAUUUUACCUACGCUUAGGAUGUUGACGCAUGAGAUAUACGC